rnacentral:rRNA from 1 species
GCCGCGUGCAGGAUGACGGCUCUAUGAGUUGUAAACUGCUUUUAUACGAGGGUAAACUCCGAUACGAGUAUCGGACUUGAAAGUAUCGUAUGAAUAAGGAUCGGCUAACUCCGUGCCAGCAGCCGCGGUAAUACGGAGGAUCCGAGCGUUAUCCGGAUUUAUUGGGUUUAAAGGGUGCGUAGGCGGUUCGGUAAGUUAGAGGUGAAAGCUCGACGCUCAACGUCGAAAUUGCCUCUGAUACUGCCGGGCUGGAGUAUAGAUGCUGUGGGCGGAAUGAGUAGUGUAGCGGUGAAAUGCUUAGAUAUUACUCAGAACACCGAUUGCGAAGGCAGCUCACAAAACUAAUACUGACGCUGAUGCACGAAAGCGUGGGGAUCAAACAGGAUUAGAUACCCUGGUAGUCCACGCCGUAAACGAUGAUAACUCGUUGUUGGCGAUAUAAGGUCAGUGACUUAGCGAAAGCGUUAAGUUAUCCACCUGGGGAGUACGUUCGCAAGAAUGAAACUCAAAGGAAUUGACGGGGGCCCGCACAAGCGGAGGAACAUGUGGUUUAAUUCGAUGAUACGCGAGGAACCUUACCCGGGCUUGAAAGUUAGCGACGAUCGGUGAAAGUCGAUUUCCCUUCGGGGCGCGAAACUAGGUGCUGCAUGGUUGUCGUCAGCUCGUGCCGUGAGGUGUCGGGUUAAGUCCCAUAACGAGCGCAACCCCUACUGUCAGUUACCAGCAGGUUAAGAUGGGGACUCUGACAGGACUGCCGGUGUAAGCCGAGAGGAAGGUGGGGAUGACGUCAAAUCAGCACGGCCCUUACGUCCGGGGCGACACACGUGUUACAAUGGUCGGUACAGAGGGCAGCUACCCAGCGAUGGGAUGCGAAUCUCGAAAGCCGAUCUCAGUUCGGAUCGCAGGCUGAAACCCGCCUGCGUGAAGUUGGAUUCGCUAGUAAUCGCGCAUCA